rnacentral:rRNA from 1 species
CCUACGGGAGACAGCAGUAGGGAAUAUUGCUCAAUGGGGGAAACCCUGAAGCAGCAACGCCGCGUGGAGGAUGAAGGUUUUCGGAUUGUAAACUCCUUUUGUUAGAGAAGAUAAUGACGGUAUCUAACGAAUAAGCACCGGCUAACUCCGUGCCAGCAGCCGGGGUAAUACGGAGGGUGCAAGCGUUACUCGGAAUCACUGGGCGUAAAGGGCGCGUAGGCGGGAUAGCAAGUCAGAUGUGAAAUCCUAUGGCUUAACCAUAGAACUGCAUUUGAAACUGUUAUUCUAGAGUAUGGGAGAGGUAGGUGGAAUUCUUGGUGUAGGGGUAAAAUCCGUAGAGAUCAAGAGGAAUACUCAUUGCGAAGGCGACCUGCUAGAACAUAACUGACGCUGAUGCGCGAAAGCGUGGGGAGCAAACAGGAUUAGAUACCCGAGUAGUC